CUCUCUCUCUCUCUCUCUCUCUCUCGAUCACUCUCUCGACCCUCCUCUGUGUUCUUGAAACCCUUCUUGUUCUUUAUUUGGUUGGUCGGGUUUGGGUUGUAAUUGGAAGCGGGGCGCCGUUGAGAACUUGAGAUUUUCUUGAUUUCUUGUAUUCGUUUGUUUUGUUUUGUUUUGGUGGGAUUGAAAUCUCGAGGUUUCUAACGAGAAAUUUUGAUGGAGAACUGCUUUAAUGGGAGAUCGAUAUGGAAGAUCGGGAAUUUGAAUUUGAUUGUUAUGGAGUCGGUACGUUGCGGUUAGUUUCGUGUUUUGGAUUUGGGAUCUGAACCCGGACAGAGGUUAUUUGUAGGGUUUUGGUGACCAAGCUGUGCCGUUGCUCGGAAACUUGAUUGCCACUCUGACUUAGUUGUGAAGCAUUCAAGGACUUCCAUUGCAUCAAUAGGCUGCGACAACUGAAAGAUUGCAGAGAACGUGAGGGACCUAAGCAUCCAACAAGGGAUGAGUUUCUGAUGUCAAUUGUCCAGUGAAAGAAUCAAUGGAGGCACAGAGCCCUUAGUGAUUCUUGAAGGGAAGUCCAAUUGGAUAUGUUUAAUGGUUCUACGAGACAAAUAGAGAUUCACUGCAAGAGACACAAGGCUCAUAGCUUGUCGGGGAUACUGUUGAUGAGACUUACCCGAAAUUGAGCUUGACUGACUUGUCCAAACCAAAGUUUACCCCAUUACAACUCAAAUUCUGAAGCAUGAGUACAUACAAUGGGGUCUCUUCUAGAAAUAACUGAACCUAACAAGGACAUUUACCUUUAUCUGAUUUUAAACCUUUCUCCUUUUGGAACAAGACAUGGUUUUGAUCAAGAUUUUAAGUUCUGGUGGGAUGAGGGGCAUUCCAGGCCGUCCCAUCUUAUUUCUAUGAGAAAAUGGGACUGGGACGGUGUCGGGACUCCGAAAC